CAGCAGCAAGUUGAUCAUGGGGGCCUGGUGCAAUGGCUGCAAAUAGCAGCCUCCUCAGCAGUAUAUGCAGCCUGGUGCCUGUGCAGUUUGCUCAAAGGGAUCCUGGUGACAGCC
rnacentral:snoRNA from 1 species